rnacentral:rRNA from 1 species
GACGAACGCUGGCGGCGUGCCUAACACAUGCAAGUCGAACGGAGAUACGAUUUCGGUUGUAUCUUAGUGGCGAACGGGUGAGUAACGCGUGAACAACCUGACUCUAAGAGGGGGAUAACACUCGGAAACGGGUGCUAAUACCGCAUAAGACCACGACCCGGCAUCGGGAUGAGGUCAAAGGAGCAAUCCGCUGAGAGAGGGGUUCGCGUCCCAUUAGAUAGAUGGCGGGGUAACGGCCCACCAUGUCAACGAUGGGUAGCCGAGCUGAGAGGCUGAUCGGCCACACUGGAACUGAGACACGGUCCAGACUCCUACGGGAGGCAGCAGUGGGGAAUAUUGGGCAAUGGGCGCAAGCCUGACCCAGCAACGCCGCGUGAGGGAAGAAGGCUUUCGGGUUGUAAACCUCUGUCCUUGGUGACGAAACAAAUGACGGUAGCCAAGGAGGAAGCCCCGGCUAACUACGUGCCAGCAGCCGCGGUAAGAGUGUGUGUA